rnacentral:rRNA from 1 species
AUUGAACGCUGGCGGCAGGCCUAACACAUGCAAGUCGAGCGCGAAAGUCCUUCGGGGUGAGUAGAGCGGCGGACGGGUGAGUAACGCGUAGGAAUCUGUCCGGUAGUGGGGGAUAACGUUCCGAAAGGAACGCUAAUACCGCAUACGCCCCAAGGGGGAUAGCGGGGGAUCUUCGGACCUCGCGCUAUCGGAGGAGCCUGCGUCGGAUUAGCUAGUUGGUAGGGUAAAGGCCUACCAAGGCGACGAUCCGUAGCUGGUCUGAGAGGAUGAUCAGCCACACCGGAACUGAGACACGGUCCGGACUCCUACGGGAGGCAGCAGUGGGGAAUAUUGCGCAAUGGGGGCAACCCUGACGCAGCCAUGCCGCGUGUGUGAAGAAGGCCUUCGGGUUGUAAAGCACUUUCAGAGGGGAGGAAAGGGCGCUGGCUAAUAUCCAGCGCAGUUGACGCUACCCUCAGAAGAAGCACCGGCUAAUUCCGUGCCAGCAGCCGCAGUAACAC